UACGUAGGGUGCAAGCGUUAAUCGGAAUUACUGGGCGUAAAGCGUGCGCAGGCGGUUGUGCAAGACAGAUGUGAAAUCCCCGGGCUCAACCCGGGAACUGCGUCCGAUACUGGCAGGCUUGAAUCCGGGAGAGGGAUGCGGAAUUCCAGGUGUAGCGGUGAAAUGCGUAGAUAUCUGGAGGAACACCGGUGGCGAAGGCGGCAUCCUGGACCGGCAUUGACGCUGAGGCGCGAAAGCCAGGGGAGCAAACGGG
rnacentral:rRNA from 1 species